rnacentral:rRNA from 1 species
UCGGGAAUUUUGGGCAAUGGGCGAAAGCCUGACCCAGCAACGCCGCGUGAGGGAUGAAGUAUUUCGGUAUGUUAACCUCGAAAGAAUGGGAAGAAUAAAUGACGGUACCAUUUAUAAGCUCCGGCUAACUACGUGCCAGCAGCCGCGGUAAUACGUAGGGAGCAAGCGUUGUUCGGAAUUACUGGGCGUAAAGGGUGCGUAGGCGGCGCUCUAAGUUUGGUGUGAAAUCUCCCGGCUUAACUGGGAGGGUGCACUGAAAACUGGGGCGCUCGAGUAUGGGAGAGGAAAGCGGAAUUCCUGGUGUAGCGGUGAAAUGCGUAGAGAUCAGGAGGAACACCUGCGGUGCAGACGGCUUUCUGGACCAUCACUGACGCUGAGGCACGAAAGCGUGGGUAGCAAACA